ensembl:lncRNA
CGGCAUUUAAAAUAAACCAGGCGAUAACUGGGCCUACCAAAAGGUCCUUCGAGUAGAAUGGUAUAAAUAUGACCCGUUUCCUCGUGGUCGGUCUCAUUGAAUGUAGGAAGUGUGUCGGUGCGGGCAGAUGCUUGCAGUGCCGCCACCGAAGGCGUCCAAGUUUCACAGAUGAAUGUUUGAGAUUCUCAACAGGAGGGCGGCAGUCAACAAGAUCGGUGAAUUUGUAUUCGUUUCAAAAUGGUGACCUGUUUAAAGUAUGACAAAUGUGUGCAUGUUUCUGUAAUGUAAGAUGUUGGCAUUUUAGUGUAUCGUUAGUAGCUCAUUGUGGGCUCAGCUAAAUGUGAUUGUGCUAACAACUGUGUCAAGUUGGACUUUGUAUUUUAUGUGGUGUGGAAGUUGGCUUUUUGCUGUGUAUAUACACAUGUUGCUGUAAGACACAUAAUUCUGUGCAAAAUAAAUUACUUUAAAAUUAUGUCGUUGCUUUGUAA